rnacentral:rRNA from 1 species
UACGGAGGGUGCGAGCGUUAAUCGGAAUUACUGGGCGUAAAGCGCACGCAGGCGGUUUGUUAAGCUAGAUGUGAAAGCCCCGGGCUCAACCUGGGAUGGUCAUUUAGAACUGGCAGACUAGAAUCUUGGAGAGGGGAGUGGAAUUCCAGGUGUAGCGGUGAAAUGCGUAGAUAUCUGGAGGAAUAUCAGUGGCGAAGGCGACUCCCUGGCCAAAGACUGACGCUCAUGUGCGAAAGUGUGGGUAGCGAACAGG